rnacentral:rRNA from 1 species
AGGGUGUAAACGCUGCAGACUUGGUGUUGGAAGCCCUUUGGGGGCAUUCAGUGCCGGAGAGAAGUUGUUAAGUCUGCUACUUGGGGAGUACGUCCGCAAGGAUGAAACUUAAAGGAAUUGGCGGGGGAGCACCGCAACGGGAGGAGCGUGCGGUUUAAUUGGAUUCAACACCGUAAACUCACCAGGGAAGACUGUUACAUGAAGGCCGAGAUGAAGACUCUGCUAGAUUUUUCAGAGAGGUGGUGCAUGGCGUCAGUGACU